rnacentral:rRNA from 1 species
UACGUAGGGUGCAAGCGUUUGUCCGGAAUUAUUGGGCGUAAAGAGUUCGUAGGCGGUUUGUCGCGUCUGCUGUGAAAACCCGAGGCUCAACCUCGGGCCUGCAGUGGGUACGGGCAGACUAGAGUGCGGUAGGGGAGAUUGGAAUUCCUGGUGUAGCGGUGGAAUGCGCAGAUAUCAGGAGGAACACCAAUGGCGAAGGCAGAUCUCUGGGCCGUAACUGACGCUGAGGAGCGAAAGCAUGGGGAGCGAACAGG